rnacentral:lncRNA from 1 species
AUAGAUAAACUCAGCUCAUGUUGCAUUUGAUUUCUGUCCUUAUGCACAGCGUCUCCCAUCCAGAAUCUGAAGACAACAGUCAGAAAUCCAUCUGUAAUGAGCUCAAAUGACCCUCACAGCCGUCCUGUUUGGGAGUCUCCUCUUGUGGUGUGUGGGGUCGUGCUGCUGGUCAUGACUGCAUUUUUGGCACUUUGGAAGUUAAGGCAACUGUGUAAGAAAAAGCAGAAACAUCGAGGGACAAAUGAAAUGAACGAUAAUCUCACAAUGUGUCCUUGGAGAGAAGGAGACUAUAAGAACGCCUCAGUGAUUUUCUUGAACGCUCCAGCUCAGGCCCAGAUGCUCUGACAGAGGAGCUUCAUGAUGGGAAACACCAAACUCAUGGGCAUUCUGAUGCUGAAGGAGAUUUGAAAGGGAACUGAUGGACACUUUAAGUCUCAUUAUGUAGUCUAAGAGAGUCCUGCAGACUGGAGAAGCUGGAGGCCGGGGUAAUAUUUGACAUUCCUUCACAUGUAACAGUUAAAUGGUAGAUCAUUGAUCAUUUUAAUGCAUAUUUCAUGUCAUGUAUUUCUCUGUAAGCACAAGCCUUAUGAGUGAAUUGUGCUGUUUAAGCAUGUUUUCACCAAUGAGCAGCGGUUAUUCUCAACUAACAGUGCAAAAGAUGUGCGACUGUUUACAGAAGCACUGAGAAUGUGUCCUUAUAUCACUUUUUACCAUAUUAGAGACUAUAUAUCGUCAUGUUUUAGCAGCAUAUACUGAAUACGAUCAUAAAUGAUAAAAAAAAAACUUUCAUCUGUUAUUAACCUCUGUACAGAAAUAGUGUCUUAUUCACAUCCUGUUUCAAGUCCUAUUAACAUCUUUAUUUGUGGUUGUUUGUCACCUCCUGCAUAUAAAUAAACGUAACCCACUCAAGUCGGUCAAUACACAGAAACCUCAAGAGGGAAACGCUUUGAUGUCGACUGCAUUGCACAUGAAGUAAAUAAUUCUUAUUAGAAUCAUCUUAAAUGUCUCGACCAAGUGAUGCAUAUGUAACUUGUGAUUUUUGCAGCAUUUGCAAUCAAGCAUGAUGUUUUAUUGUAAAUCAACUUUAUGUGACAUAAGCAACUGAAUAGCACGGAUGCAGGAAGUGAGUCUGAGACUAUGAGAACUUUAUAUCAUAUGUGAUAAGCAUAAGACAGAGAUAAGCUGUAUAACAGAGAUAAGAGACAAGCUGUUUCUGUGGUAUUAAAAUAAGAUAACAAAAUGCCAGUUUGCAGCAUAACAGACUAAUUUUGUACAGGUGAAAUGUUGUACUGUGGCUGAUUGUAUCCACAAUGAAAGUGCUAUAUAAAUGCCUCAUUCAU